UGCCAUGUUUCAAGGGAAUAGAGUGCAGGAAUGUUCUGUUUCUGUUAAAGACAAUGCAUAUUCUUCACAGGGAUUGUCGGGGCAGCAAUGAAAAACAAGGUUUCUUAUAACUAUAAACUGAAAAUGGACAAAAGUUCAGGUGAUAUCUUGAAUUGUGACUGCGAGUGUCAAGCUGGAAAAGGACCCCAUGGGACCUGAAAGCUUUUAGCUGCUGUGUUACUCAUGCUGCAGCAUUUUACAGAAACAGGAAGUGUUGUAAUAGACAAAAGCUGCACUGAAAAUCUGCAGCUUUUUCACAAGCCAAAAGCAACCUAUCAUGGGGUACCAGUGGAUGCAGAAAGUAUCCUAUCAAGGAAAAGGCCUUCUGAUGAGUCCUUGGAAGAUCCGCGUCCUGCAAAAUUCCGUAAAGUGCCAGGUUACCAAGAUUAUGUAAGAAAUCUACUAAUCAACUACUGUUCAAUGACAUCAGAAGAUAUUGCUCUCCGAUAUUUCUCGGAAAGGCCAAUGUACAGCUGUUGACCAUUAUUAUACUAGAAUUCCAAUGACAGAGUACUAGGUAGAUGAAGCAAACAAGGUAACUGAAGCAGAUGUUGGGAGAAUCGAAAAAGAAACUUGACAACAAGCAUCAUCGAAAUUAUGGUUUCAUCACAGAUCCUGGCGUCUGACAGCUUCAAGAUUUGGAGAAAUCUGCAAGCUUACUUCAUGAAGAAAUAUCACAAAACUAUGUUAAAAUCUGAUGUCUGUUAACAAAGCUAUGCAAAACAGUGCCUUGGCACAUGGUAAAAACUAUGAGUCAAAGGCACUGAAGAUCUAAGAUCUAAACCCUUUUAGGUGCAACACCAGAUGCAUUGUUGCAUGAUGAUUGUCUUGUGGAAGUAAAAUGUCCAUAUUCAGGAAGAAAUAAGAAGAUUCUUCCUGGCAAGCAUUUCAGAUUUUUAGACUAUAAUGAGAAAAACGAAAUUAUUUUGAAACGGACAAGCAAUCAUUAUUAUCAAGUGCAAGGGCAACUUCACAUUUGUCAAAAGAAAUCAUGUUACUUUGUUGUGUACACAUUCAGUGACUUGUUUGUUGAGAAAAUCAAUUAUGAUGAGGAAUACUGUACUGGGUCACUUAUUCCAAAACUUGAAACAUUUUACACCAAGUUUUUCAGACCUUUAUUUGCUUCUACUCUUUGAUUUGUUUUACUUUCUGAUGAAAAAGAGAAAAUAAGUUUUAAAGUGCUUAGUUUAAGUACUGCAAGUGUU
rnacentral:sRNA from 1 species